AGACGUCUACAUUAGAUACCCGGGUAGUCCCAGCCGUAAACUAUGCGCGUUAGGUGUAUCGGUGACCACGAGUUACCGAGGUGCCGAAGGGAAACCGUGAAACGUGCCGCCUGGGAAGUACGGUCGCAAGGCUGAAACUUAAAGGAAUUGGCGGGGGAGCACCACAACAGGUGGAGCCUGCGGUUUAAUUGGAUUCAACGCCGGACAUCUCACCGGAUAAGACAGCUGAAUGAUUGUCAAUCUGAAGGUUUUACAUGACUAGCUG
rnacentral:rRNA from 1 species